AGAGUUUGAUCAUGGCUCAGGAUGAACGCUGGCGGCGUGCCUAACACAUGCAAGUCGAACGAAGCAUUUACGGAUGAACCCUCCGGGGGGAUUUUGUUUAUGACUGAGUGGCGGACGGGUGAGUAACGCGUGGGGAACCUGCCUCUGCCAGGGGGAUAACAGUUAGAAAUGACUGCUAAUACCGCAUAAGCGCACAGAACCGCAUGGUUCCGUGUGAAAAGCCGAGACGGACAGAGAUGGACCUGCGUCUGAUUAGGUAGUUGGUGAGGUAACGGCCCACCAAGCCGACGAUCAGUAGCCGACCUGAGAGGGUGACCGGCCACAUUGGGACUGAGACACGGCCCAAACUCCUACGGGAGGCAGCAGUGGGGAAUAUUGCACAAUGGGGGAAACCCUGAUGCAGCGACGCCGCGUGAAGGAAGAAGUAUUUCGGUACGUAAACUUCUAUCAGCAGGGAAGAAAUGACGGUACCUGAGUAAGAAGCUCCGGCUAAAUACGUGCCAGCAGCCGCGGUAAUACGUAUGGAGCAAGCGUUAUCCGGAUUUACUGGGUGUAAAGGGAGCGUAGGCGGCGAUGCAAGUCAGAGGUGAAAGCCCGGGGCUCAACUCCGGGACUGCCUUUGAAACUGUAUGGCUGGAUUGCAGGAGAGGUAAGUGGAAUUCCUAGUGUAGCGGUGAAAUGCGUAGAUAUUAGGAGGAACACCAGUGGCGAAGGCGGCUUACUGGACUGUAAAUGACGCUGAGGCUCGAAAGCGUGGGGAGCAAACAGGAUUAGAUACCCUGGUAGUCCACGCGGUAAAC
rnacentral:rRNA from 1 species